rnacentral:lncRNA from 1 species
AUAUAUUAGAUUCUUUUCUUUUCUUUAUGAUAUUUUGUUUUUUGUAAAAGUCGUAAAGUAAAUAGUAAGAGUCAGUUUCAUGAACAGUAAAGGUCGUUCAUGAAUAGUAAGAGUCAAGAGUCAGUUUCAUGAACAGUAAAGGUCGUUCAUGAAUAGUAAGAGUCAAGAGUCAGUUUCAUGAACAGUAAAGGUCGUUCAUGAAUAGUAAAAGUCAUUUUGUAAUAUUAUAAAUAAGUCUUUCGAUUAUGAAAUAAGAGAGGCUACAUCUUCAGGCCAAGGGCUUCUCUCUCCUCUCUCUUCUCUUCUCACAAGAAAUACUUACAGAUAAAAUACUUAAAGAUAAAAUACAGGAAAGCUAUGGAAGAUAAGCAAGCUAUGAAUCAGCAAGAAAAUAUGAAAGAUCAACAAGAAGACACCAAGAACAUACAAAACCAGGUAUGUCAUAUUAUAACUAUGAGUAGCUAAUUCAUUAUAUUCCUGAUAAUCUCAUACAUGUAGAUUAUAAUUAUCCAUCAUAUAAUAGUACUGUUAUAAAAAUCAUCUUGAGUAAGUUUGCCAUGAAAAUAUGCUAAGAGUAGGUAAGCCCAGACUAUGCAUCCUAAAGUUGAAACCGGUAGGCAGAAGGCUGUUUAGGGGAGUAAACAUGAGUUGAAGCGCUGUUAGGGUAACUGAUUGAAGCAGAAAAUCAUGGUAGUGACCAGAAAAGGUGAUUAAAAUAACUUAUUAUAAUAUGAUGAAUAAGGAUAAUAAACAUAGAGAUUAAAAGGAAUAUGUUUUAGCAAAUCAUAUGAUAAGAUGAAUACUUAUCUAAUAGACGACGAUAUUACCUAUAAAACACUUAUAAUUCUCCGAAACCUCCCUAAACAAUGAAAGAAAUAUCUUCACGUUUUUUAUUCCAAGCACCGUGAAUAUACCAACAGAGAUUAGAGGAAAUCUUCAUCCUGACUGGUAAAUUUUAUACUUGGUUGAAGCGGUGUGAGACUUUGAUAUAAAUUAUGAUUAGCGUGUUAUUUUUUCUUUGUUUGGGAGUUGUGGUUCUUUAAUUUGGUCAUUUGUUGGUUUGGGGCUCAAUAUUUUAUUAUUUGUUGAUACAAUAAUAUUGAGAUUAACUGUGAGACUUUGAUAUGAAUUAUGAUUAACGUGUAAGUUUUCCUUUGUUUGGGAUCUUCUUUUUUUUUUAAAACUAACCAAACUUUUAUUAACGAGUGGAAAGUGCUGCUACAUUUGGGAAAGGGGGCAUUCACCUAACCCUUUCAUAUCCUUUGUGAGCUUGGUGCACAAGCUCUGUUGCUAGUUAAUACAAAGUGCAGAAAAAACAGAACCAACCUCCUACAUAGAUUACUAUCUAGCAGCACACCUUAAGGUGGUUCAAAAUAUAUCUCUGAAGCUUUUAUUUAUCUGAUUCGGAAGGACGCCAUUUCCCAUCUAUAUCCAGCUGGUGUAACCCUCUGAUUUGUCUCGGCAAUCCAGUAAAGUCCGAAAAUACAAUGGCCUGCUUGUGGAGAUGACUUGUUGAUGCUAGUUUGUUUGCGACUUUAUUCCCUUCUCUGUAGCAGUGCUUUACUGCUGCUCCUUUUUCACUCACAAUCUACUUGAUUUUAUCCACAAUUUGCAGCAGCCUUCAUGGUGUGCUUGAUUCUUUAUUGACAGCAUAAACUAACACCUUUGAAUCAGCUUCCACUAUUAUUUUAUCCAAUCCUCUCGAUAAACAAUGCUGCAGUCUCAAGAGCAUGGCAUGUCCUUCUGCCCAAUUGCUCGUCCCUUGACCUAAGUAUAUUGAGUACGCCAUGACAAGUGUUUCAUUGUAAUCUCUAAUUACUCCACCAGCUCCACAAGCCCCUUCCACACAACUUCCAUCACUGUUAAGUUUGUAGUAGAAAGGAGGAGGUCUAGACCACUUCACCACUUUAAUUUGUACAUUCUGUGCGUAAUAGGUUGGUCAACAAUGCGCUGCAGCUUUUCCCAUGUUGUUUCCCUCUGUAACUGUCCGAAUUUCUGUUGAACCAAACAUGAGAGAUUGAAAGAGAUCAACUUUGUAAUUAUAGCUUGUUUCGUAGAUUUUAUUCUCUUACUAGCGAUAUAACGCUUGGAUUGGCGAAGCAUGUCCAAAUUUUUAGCAGAAAGGUAUCCAAUAGCUUUCCCUUGAAGACAAUCUAAGAGCUUAACAAUUAAAUUUUUUAUCUAAAUAUUUUUUUGAAAUUUAUCCAAUGGAAAAGAUAUCAUUAUGCAAAUCUUCAAAUAAUAUCUUAUGCAAGAUAGAAACUUUGUUUAAUUCAAAAGAUUGGUGUAUAUUUUUAGAAUUAUUAUUAGUAAUCUUAAAGAUUAUAUAUGGCUGUUAUAGAGGGGUAAUUUACAAAGAGCGUUCUGUUAUAAAUAUGGCUGUUGCUGUUAUAGGUAAAAUGUUAUUAUAGAAAGGUAAAAUAUAACUUAAAAAUCUGUUCUGAAGAAAACUUGUCUUUUAUAGUGAAUGGUUGUUAUAUAUGGAUGGUGUUAUAGAGAUAUAUGGUUGUAUAUAUACAAAGAUAAUGAUUACCAAACUGAGAUGAUUUACCUUAUAAAUGUACGAAAUUUGUUUCUCCUAUUUAUCAAGUUUGUUAUUCUUCAUUCUCAGCUUAGUUCCCCUUUUCAUGUGGAAAUAUUAAAGAAACUUAAAUACAAUGAAUUGGGACAUAACUCAUACUAGCUGUGAGUAUGAAUAUUCAAACUCCUUGUUAUUCAAGGAACGUGUGUGAAUAAGACGGGAUUGAUCUUCUUGCUUAAUUAGUGCUUAAACAAAAUUUGGGUUAAUUAUAAAGUGAAGGGGGAAAGUUCAGACUUUAUCACCAAUGUUUCGAUUAUUACACUUUGGCCCCAAUCUAUAUAAAUGUAAUAUUUUCAAAAUUUAAAUAAAGAAAAAACCCAACACCCCCCAUCCGACUCCCGCCGUUUCAGUAGCUUCUCAAUCCUCAUUUCUCACGGCUGAAUCCUCCAUUACAACUUAAUUUUCUUCCAUUCUUCAUAUAGAGGUUGUCUCCCUUCUUUCCCAUUCCGCUCUAAGCCUCAUUCUUUCGAUUUAUCGAUUACGGAGAGAAAGCACAAAUAUUUAGAUAUGUCGAUUUGGGAAUGAAAUUGGUGGCACAUUGGAUUGAUAAUUUAUUUUAAGUACUUUAUUGUGUAAUUCCUUUGUCUGGUAAGUGUUUGUAUCUCAUCUUAUUCGCCAUUGUUAAUUUGGAUUUCUGCAGAUUUUCUAUGCACAUUACUCGACCACUAGCGUACAAUAGACCACUGGUUCACAAUAAACUGAUGGAAGAUUAUAUAUUAGUAUGCGGUCUUUAUUCUGGAGAAUGGGUUGAGGGAACAAAUGGUUGAAAUUUAAAUUCCAAUACAAAGGUUACAGUGCCUAUCCUUUGUAACGACCUGACCGAUUGUUUUGAGCUUUACCGUUCUAUUCGGUGAUUUGAGACUUUGAGUAGUUUCGUAUUAUGUAUUAUGACUUGCAUGUAUGAUUGGUUUCGAUUUUCGAGCAGUUUGGGAUUAAUUUGGAAGAAUGAUUCUUGUUUUAUAAGCUUUAAGUUAGAAGAGUUGACCAAGAUUUGACUUUUGGGUAAACAGACUAAGAAUCGGGUUUUAAUUAUUCCAAUAAGUUUGUAUGAUGAUUUUGAACAUGUCCACAAAGUUUGAUUAAAUUCCAAUGUGUUUUGGAUAAGUUUAGGUUAUAUGGAGAUUGUUUUCGGUUUCGACGUCGAUUUAGCAUAAGGGUUACCAUAUUGAGCAAACAGCCUUUGAUUCGUGUUUUG